CCUACGGGGGACAGCAGUGAGGAAUCUUGGUCAAUGGGCUUAAGCCUGAACCAGCCAAGUCGCGUGAGGGAAGACUGCCCUAUGGGUUGUAAACCUCUUUUGUCAGGGAGCAACGCCGGCUACGUGUAGCCGGACUGAGAGUACCUGAAGAAAAAGCAUCGGCAACCUCCGUGACAGCAGCCGCGGUAAUAAGGAGGAUGCGAGCGUUAUCCGGAUUUAUUGGGUUAAAGGGGUGCGUAGGCGGAAUGCCAAGUCAGCGGUAAAAUCGCGGGGCUCAUCAUCGCUCCGCCGUUGAAACUGGCGUUCUUGAGUGGGCGAGAGGUAGGUGGAAUGCGUGGUGUAGCGGUGAAAUGCAUAGAUAUCACGCAGAACACCGAUUGCGAAGGCAGCAUACCGGCGCCCAACUGACGCUGAAGCACGAAAGCGUGGGUAUCGAACAGGAUUAGAUACCCGUGUAGUC
rnacentral:rRNA from 1 species